rnacentral:rRNA from 1 species
UACAGAGGUCCCAAGCGUUGUUCGGAUUCACUGGGCGUAAAGGGUGCGUAGGCGGUCGGGUAAGUCUGUCGUGAAAUCUCCGAGCCCAACUCGGAAACUGCGUCGGAUACUAUUCGGCUAGAGGAAUGGAGGGGAGACUGGAAUUCUCGGUGUAGCAGUGAAAUGCGUAGAUAUCGAGAGGAACACCAGUGGCGAAGGCGAGUCUCUGGACAUUUCCUGACGCUGAGGCACGAAAGCCAGGGAGCAAACGGG